AGCCAUUUUUGUAUAAGCAAUGGU
rnacentral:siRNA from 1 species